GGCUUCCAUCGAUGUCGACAGAGUUUGAUCCUGGCUCAGAUUGAACGCUGGCGGCAUGCCUUACACAUGCAAGUCGAACGGCAGCACGGGGGCAACCCUGGUGGCGAGUGGCGAACGGGUGAGUAAUACAUCGGAACGUGUCCUGUAGUGGGGGAUAGCCCGGCGAAAGCCGGAUUAAUACCGCAUACGCUCUACGGAGGAAAGGGGGGGAUCUUAGGACCUCUCGCUACAGGGGCGGCCGAUGGCAGAUUAGCUAGUUGGUGGGGUAAAGGCCUACCAAGGCGACGAUCUGUAGCUGGUCUGAGAGGACGACCAGCCACACUGGGACUGAGACACGGCCCAGACUCCUACGGGAGGCAGCAGUGGGGAAUUUUGGACAAUGGGCGCAAGCCUGAUCCAGCAAUGCCGCGUGUGUGAAGAAGGCCUUCGGGUUGUAAAGCACUUUUGUCCGGAAAGAAAACUUCUGCCCUAAUACGGCGGGAGGAUGACGGUACCGGAAGAAU
rnacentral:rRNA from 1 species